rnacentral:rRNA from 1 species
GACAGAGGCCUCGAGCGUUAGGCGGAAUCACUGGGCUUAAAGCGUGUGUAGGCGGAUCGUUAAGUGCCUUGUGAAAUCCCACGGCUUAACUGUGGAACGGCUGGGCAUACUGGCGGUCUUGAGCCAUCUAGGGGCGACUGGAACAAACGGUGGAGCGGUGAAAUGCGUAGAUAUCGUUUGGAACGCCAAUGGUGAAAACAGGUCGCUGGGGAUGAGCUGACGCUGAGACACGAAAGCGUGGGGAGCGAACCGG